GCGGAGAUGGCAGAGUCCGGUCAAAUGCGCGAGGCUUAGGACCUCGUGCCCUAGUGGCUGCGGGGGUUCCGGCUUUUUCGGGGUCCGAAAUUUGCCGCCCAAAAAUCCUCCUCUCCGCA
rnacentral:tRNA from 1 species